GCCUGGGUGGCUCAGUCGGUUAAGCGUCUGACUUCGGCUUAGGUCAUGAUCUCGCGGUCCGUGGGUUCAAGCCCCACGUCGGGCU
rnacentral:tRNA from 1 species